AGUAAAGCUUUGACAGGGAAGAGUACAUGAGAAGCCAGCUUGAAGAGAGGGAGUCCAGUAGCUGAGAGGACUUCUAAGCAGGAACCAUGGAAGGUCGCCCUUGAGCAUCGCCUGGGAACGGAUAUAUCCCCAGUAACAGGCGACGGUGAAAAGCCGUUAUCCAGAUUUGAGCCAGCAACUGAGGUGUUUUUACCGUUGCUGGGAAAAAAGGUGGUACCGCGAACAUACUCCAUUCGUCCUUUUA
rnacentral:ncRNA from 1 species